GAAGUUGUCGUCUUCGGCCGAUAACAGCGCGUUGAUGAAGUUGGGCGGGAUUUCGGCAAAGCGAAUCGGGGUCCGGCGCAUCUCGCCGAACUCGGCAAUCAGCUUGCCGUCGCUGCUGAACACGCGCAGGGGAAUUUGCAGUUGAAUGCUUCGCAGCGCUUCGACGGAUGGCAGGGUCGGGCUCAGAUACAGAAACGCGCCGCUCAGGCCGAGUAACAGCGAGCAGAAUACCGCGACGAGGGACCACCAGAAAAACUUCAGCAGGCGUAUCAAGGCUUUUGGAUUUCCAGAAAA
rfam:Pseudomonas syringae pv. actinidiae ICMP 19096 scaffold897, whole genome shotgun sequence.